rnacentral:rRNA from 1 species
UACGUAGGGUGCAAGCGUUGUCCGGAAUUAUUGGGCGUAAAGAGCUCGUAGGCGGUUUGUUGCGUCGGCUGUGAAAUCCCGAGGCUCAACCCUCGGGUCUGCAGUCGAUACGAGCAAACUAGAGUGUUGCAGGGGAGACUGGAAUUCCUGGUGUAGCGGUGAAAUGCGCAGAUAUCAGGAGGAACACCGGUGGCGAAGGCGGGUCUCUGGGCAACAACUGACGCUGAGGAGCGAAAGCGUGGGGAGCGAACAGG